GAUGAACGCUAGCUACAGGCUUAACACAUGCAAGUCGAGGGGAAACGGCAUUGAGUGCUUGCACUCUUUGGACGUCGACCGGCGCACGGGUGAGUAACGCGUAUCCAACCUUCCCAUUACUGUGGGAUAACCUGCCGAAAGGCAGACUAAUACCGCAUAGUCUUCGAUGACGGCAUCAGAUGUGAAGUAAAGAUUUAUCGGUAAUGGAUGGGGAUGCGUCUGAUUAGCUUGUUGGCGGGGUAACGGCCCACCAAGGCUACGAUCAGUAGGGGUUCUGAGAGGAAGGUCCCCCACAUUGGAACUGAGACACGGUCCAAACUCCUACGGGAGGCAGCAGUGAGGAAUAUUGGUCAAUGGACGGAAGUCUGAACCAGCCAAGUAGCGUGCAGGAUGACGGCCCUAUGGGUUGUAAACUGCUUUUGUAUGGGGAUAAAGUUAGGGACGUGUCCCUAUUUGCAGGUACCAUACGAAUAAGGACCGGCUAAUUCCGUG
rnacentral:rRNA from 1 species